rnacentral:tRNA from 1 species
GGGGCUGUAGCUCAGGGGCAAAGCGCUUGCCUAGCAUGCAGGAGGCACUGGGUUCGAUCCUCAGCACCGCA